rnacentral:rRNA from 1 species
GACGAACGCUGGCGGCGCGCCUAACACAUGCAAGUCGAACGAGCGAGAGAGAGCUUGCUUUCUCGAGCGAGUGGCGAACGGGUGAGUAACGCGUGAGGAACCUGCCUCAAAGAGGGGGACAACAGUUGGAAACGACUGCUAAUACCGCAUAAGCCCACGACCCGGCAUCGGGUAGAGGGAAAAGGAGCAAUCCGCUUUGAGAUGGCCUCGCGUCCGAUUAGCUAGUUGGUGAGGUAACGGCCCACCAAGGCAACGAUCGGUAGCCGGACUGAGAGGUUGAACGGCCACAUUGGGACUGAGACACGGCCCAGACUCCUACGGGAGGCAGCAGUGGGGAAUAUUGCACAAUGGGGGAAACCCUGAUGCAGCGACGCCGCGUGGAGGAAGAAGGUCUUCGGAUUGUAAACUCCUGUUGUUGAGG